rnacentral:lncRNA from 1 species
UCUACUCUCUAAGAAACUAGAAACUCUAACUGAGAGUGAGGUGGCUCUGAAGGACAAACUAGUUUCUGAGAUGCUCUAGGUGACAAUUUGAUAAUUUGUCUAGUUUUCUAUGUUGUUUACUUGAUAAUUUGCUUAGUUCAUUACUUGAUAACUGCUUUUACUUAGUUACGGAAACUCUUAGUUCAUUACUUGUUGACUAAAACUUCUCUUCUUCUGUGUCGUUUUGCAGGUGAAGGUUGUUGGUUCUGGAGGUCACGGGUUCUACAAGGUUUAUUGCUUCUGCAGGUCACGGGUUGUGGAGGUCACGGGUUCUAGAGGUCACAGG